GUGAAUCAUCGAAUUUUUGAACGCAAAUUGCACUCUCUUCGGAGAGUAUGCCUGUUUGAGGGUCAGCCUAAAAAAAAUCGACAUCGUUGAUGUUUCGCGGUGGCGUUCGUCGGAAAUUGGGGUAUCUUAAAGCUUUGGUUUAAGCGACUUAAAAUUUUCUUUACGAUUCCAUGAACGAUUCCAAGCAUGAUUUUUUUUCACGCUUAAGGUUUCGA
rnacentral:misc_RNA from 1 species